rnacentral:rRNA from 1 species
UACGUAGGGGCUAGCGUUGUCCGGAAUCAUUGGGCGUAAAGAGCGUGUAGGCGGUCCGGUAAGUCCGCUGUGAAAGUCGGGGCUCAACCCUCGAAUGCCGGUGGAUACUGUCGGGCUAGAGUGCGGAAGAGGCGGAGUGGAAUUCCUGGUGUAGCGGUGAAAUGCGCAGAUAUCAGGAGGAACACCUAUUGCGAAGGCAGCUCGCUGGGACGUAACUGACGCUGAGACGCGAAGCGUGGGAGCAAACAGG